CCAUUGCUGCUCUGCCCUCCCUGUUCCUAUGCCUAUGUAAGGGAGUAAUGAUUUGUGUUCACGAAAGUAGCCCAAUGGUCUUGGCCGGUGGCCCUGUUCAGUAAGAUGCAUAAUAAUAGCGGCUAAGUGAAUAUCAAGUAAAACUGAAAUAGCAUAAUGUUUCAAACGGGUAUGCUUGGGGCAACAUAUAUAGUGAUAUUCAACGAACCCCGACUGGACUGGGCUCAGUUUAUAGACUCGACUCGACUGGGCUGGGCUGUGAGUUGGCGGACAGUGACAAACGCUUCUCACUGUCUCAGUGUACACUACCUCGGAUAAAAAGAUCAAUUUUUUUUAGUAGUCAACGCCAAAGCUAGCAGAUGACUGUCCACUAGGUAGCUAUUCGUGAAGUUCCCAUCUUCUUCUUUGUGGGUUAAGGCGCAUAGCCAUCAGGCGUGAAGUUCCCAGAGUAUAUAGAGCUCCAACGUUCCUACGCCUUUGCAUUAAUUUGCAAUAAACAUUCGUCUGUCUUUGAACCUGGCAUGAAAGUUCAAAUAUUCACUCAAAGACACAGUAGUCUUUGAACCCGGCAUGGAAGUUGAAAGAUUCACUCACAGACACAGUAGGAACUUAUAACUCACGCACCUAAAAUUGAAAUGAAUGCAACUGAAAUAAGCAGAUUUUCUGUGAAAAUGUUUGUUACUCACAACCAGACUUGUGCCUGGGCCAAAAAUCAGGAUCCAAGAUCCACUGGUCACUGGAUCCCACACAAAAUCAGAAUUUUAGGAUCCAAGAUCCCCCUGGGGCCUGGAUCCCAUGCAAAGUCAGAAUUUAAGGAUCCAAGAUCCCCUGGAUUCCACACAAAAACUAGAAUUUUAGGAUCCAAGAUCCCCUGGAUCCCAUGCAAAAUCAGAAUUUCAGGAUCCAAGAUAUCCUGGAUCCCACGCAAAAUGGGAAAUUUUAAGAUCCAAGAUCCCCUGGAUCCCAUGCAAAAUCAGAAUACCUGGAUCUUGCGCGAAACAAAAUUUAGGAUCCAAGAUCCUCUGGAUCCCACGCAAAGUCAGAACCUUAAGAUCCAAGAUCCCCUGGAUCCCACGCAACAUCAAGACUUCAGAAAAACCAAAAUACCUUGCAUUUUGCACAAAAUCAAGCCUUGAAGGUGAUAAAAUCAAUCAUAGAUGAAUGAUGAUGACUAGCAUGAAUCUGUCCUGCUCCACUUUUUUAUUACCAAACUGAUAACUGUCUGGUUGUGGUGGACCCUGUCCAUUGUCAUUACAUGACAGCUAAAAAAUUGAUGGUGACUUAGGCUCAUUUCUUAUUUCAUCUGUUUCCUUGUGGAAUGUUUUGGUAAGUAUAUGUCUAUGUUGGUAUGUCAAAACUUAAGGAACCAAAAUUCCUUGGAUUUUGCACAAAAACUAGCCUUAGAGGUGAUGAAGUCAAUCAUUGAUGUAAAGAAGCAUGACUAUUUAUUCUGGUCUCCCUUUUUAUCAUUGAACUGAUAACUGUUUGGAUGUGGUGGGCCUUGUCAAUUGUUAUUACAUGACAGGUCAGAAAUUAUUAUGGCAGUUCCUUAUUACCAUCUGUUUACUUGUGGCAUGUUUUGUUAAGUAUCUGUCUAUGCUGAUACGAUUCAAGUUAAAUCUAGCAUAAUCAGGUUGUGCAGCAGGCUCCAAAAGCCUGUGGGCAUAAAGUUAAACUCACAUUGUUAAUAUUAUGCCUCAACAAAAUCAGAAGCUAUUUUAAGGAAAGGAACAUGAUUUGACAAUCACCAAAAUGCCAGACUCGCAGCACCUGCCUCUGCCUGUCCUAUGAAGGAUUGGAAUGGAUGGUCUUCCUUGGUCCUAAUGAGGCUAAACAAUAUGUUGCUUUUCAUAUAUAGGGUGUUCCUUCCUUUUUCCCUCACCUGGCACGCUUCCAGACAAAACCUGCAAUGAAGUUUGCUAGUCAUUACACAACAAAAAGCUUCUAGAUCUAUUGUUGUUGAAUACUAAAUGAUUUUAAUCUCUGAAAGCAAAACUGGAGCCAAUAAUUCAAUCGCUGCAUGCUAAAUUCAGCUGAUGUAUAUAACCUUCAAUCAGCAGCUGUGAUGUUGGCACUGUAAACAAAAGUCACUCCUCGAAAAUGGCAUGGACGCAAAGAAAAUAUUUGCUUUAUAAUACUUUGCCAUAAACUUAUAAGACUAAAAUCAAGGACGUCAUUGGAGUACCGUGUACUGAUUGGUAUGCCUGUUGGAUUACCCAUCUCUUCGGACUACCACACCUUGCGUUAGACCCCUUGUACCUGUGACGUCAUAUUAAUACCCACCUCGACUUUGUGAUAAUACAUAGCCUAUGCUAUAGAUGGCCUUGACAUUUUACAAUCGGAGGUUGGUGCACGGCGGUGGUGACCGUCUCUCAAUAUACCCUGGUGGUGACCUUGCCUAUGUUUACUUUCGGGUGGCAAUUUUCCCUGCACUUUAUACUUUCCAGUACCUUCCUGUUGAUGCGCCGCGUACGCCCCUAAUGUCAGCCCUGUGACUCUAUUGCCUUGCUGGUAUUCUAUUGCCUUGCUGUGACUAAAAUUUGAAUGCUAUUUUUUCGAGAAAAUAUUUUGUUGGAAAAUUGAAACAUUAUACUUAGCAUGAAAGUUCUUCAUCAGUCUUUCGUCAGUCAACACUUCAUAGAAUCACAGAGGUUAGUUCAGCUAUGACUUGUGAGUAAACUAUGGCCUUUGAGAACUCUAGAUCUGAGGACUUGUCAUCUGAGUGAGUUCUUAAUUGUUAAUUGUUCAAGUGUAAUGUCAUAUGCUCAUAUGGUAGAUCAAAAGUUGAAUCUGAGGCCCAAGCCUAAUGAUAAAAACCAGAGUAAAUUUUAGGUUCAUUGAGCAUAAUAGCCAAAUGACAUAAUGAACAAUGAUCCUAGUAAAAUGUAGCAUCCAUGAUCAUCAGAACAACAAGAUGAACAGUCCUUGCUUAUGAUAUUUCCUACAUUGUGGCUUCUCUUAUUGCUAUUUGCAAAGCAAAAUAGAUCUUAAAUCAUUCAUGAUCAUUCAGUCAUAACAUAUUCAGUAGGUAGCCAGUGCCAGGCUAUUGGUUAUCAAUCCCACAACCAACCUCAUGAGUUAGAACUCAGUCACUCACUCUCAAUAAUACUAUCUCAAUAUUUGGAUGGUACUGCUGACACUUCAUUCAGUAUACUCACUACUAAGUGCUUGGCAGUAAGUAGUUAACACUGAAGUAACAACAUGUACCAUCAAGGUACAUGUGAGGGUGUAUGCACAUAAUCUAACAUCCAAUUGCAACUUAGAAUAUAGCAUCCAAUGCCAAAUAUCACCUAAACCUUCAACUGAGGAGUCAUAAUGCAAACCCUCCAAACAAAUUAAGGUUGAUUCAGGACCCAAGAUCCACAAGAUCCCUCGACAAAUUGAAAAUGCAGGAUCCAAGAUCCCCAGGAUCCCUCGCCAAAUUGAAAAUGCAGGAUCCAAGAUCCCCAGGAUCCCUCGACAAAUUGAAAAUUCAGGAUUCAGGAUCCCUCGACAAAAUCUGAAGUGCAGACUGCAGGAUCUAGAAUCUCCAGGAUCCCUUGACAAAUCUGAAGUGCUGGAUCCAAGAUCCCCAGGAUCCCUCAACAAAAUCUGAAAUGCUGGAUCCAAGAUCCCCAGGAUCCCUCGACAAAAUCUGAAAUUCUGGAUCCAGGAACCACCAAGAUCCCAAAUCUUGGAUCCAGCGGAUCCUGGAUCUCGGAUCUUUUUGGGAUCUUGGCACAAGUCUGCUCACAACUUCAAACAUAAAUUUUUCACAAACCAAGCUAUAAAUGAAGCGGGGAAUAAUUUAUAUCACUAGAUUUUUGGUUGUUUGUAGCAACAACUAUUCACUUUGUAAUACAUCAAAAUUUGAGGAAUAUUUGGACAGUUCAAGGACUGUCCAAAUGUUGACAAUGACAGAAUGCUCAAGGACAAUGAACAAUCAGGGCUCUAGGUCUGUGGUAUGUUAAAUAUCAGGUUCCUCCAAUGGCGGUCAAGUCGCGCCUAGAAUGUCGAGCGAGUCAGCGGACACAACUUCGGCAGGUAAAGCGUUCCAGCUGUUCAUGGUACUGGCGCUGAAGCUGUUUCGCCGUGGGGUCACCGCCCUGGGUUUGAGUGGUGACUGGUACCAUUUUCACUAAAUUCUAUAAAUGACAUCACUGGUGCGUUUGCCCACAUGACUGUAGGCAGAAGACCCCGUAGUUCAUAUUUUAUUGAAUAUUAUUUGGGGUUGUGCCCUUAUGAUCGAAAGGAUCAUAACGAACGAAAUUCAUUUCCUUCGUUUAAUGAUCCUUUCCUUGGUGUUGCUAAUUCUGUAUGCUUGGUUAGGCGAAUUUACAAUUGGCUCAGAAUGUUUUUGCACUUAUUGGUUUCAGAUGAAUGUGAAGCUAUCAUGUUCUUUGUGUCACCACACUGACACAGACUUGAGAGAGUUUUGCCUGCAUUUGCGACGACAUGGAUCAGACCCUUAUUUUCACGUGGAUUGCCCGAUGUGUCGCAAGAAGUUCACCACUGUUCGGUAUUGGAAAGAUCAUGUUUUGUCUAGAAAGUGUUCUCCGGUUGAAGCUGCUGGUUGUGCUUCAAAUGCUCCAGAGACAUCUUCGUCUCAAAAUCAACAAGAAACUGGUGUCGAGAUUGAUUCUGACUCUGGUGACAAGGUUGAAGACGACCCUGGUGCUCACGAUGUGAGAAAACAACUGUUAGGACUCAUAAUCAAACUCCGCGCCCAAAAUGUGACCGAAAAUAGCUGCCAUGCUGUGCUGGAGUUCAUUGAGGACUUUUCGAAAGAAGUCAUCCAAGAGUGUCUGAGCUUAUGUGGGGAGGCACCAUGCUGCCAUCUUGAAGAAUAUUAUCAUAAACUCAAGACUCUGAAUGAGCUGAGCAAGUUACAGGGUAGCGACCACCUAGAACGCACAGCUGUCAAGGAGUUUGAAACGGUUGAUCCUGUAUCUGUGACAUUGGGCACAGACGAACAUGGGAAAGAUGAAACGCUCCAAUACUUGCCAGUUACACCUCAGCUUAAACAACUCUGCGAGCAAGUGAAUGCUUGCGAAGAUGCAACUGCAUCACCAGAUGGGAUACUUGGUGGCCUUCAGGAUGGAUACGUCCAUAACAAUAAUAACAGCGAAGGUCGUUUGCUUCUUUCAGUCUACUAUGACAGUUUUCAAGUAGGCAACCCCUUGGGCAGCAGAGCAAAGAACCAGAAAGUGGGCGUUGUUUAUUUUUCAGUGAACAGUCUUAAGAACAGCGCACUUCGCAACAAAAUCAUCCUUUCGGUAGUCUUUCGAGAGGCACUGCUGGCAACACAUUCAUGGGCAACACUGCUCGACCCACUCAUCACCGAACUUAAAGAGCUUGAAUCAAGCGGUUUUGUGGCAAACAUUCGUGGUGGCUCGCAUUUUACUGCACACGUUGCAGUGUUGAUCGGUGACAAUCUGGGCGUACACAGUGUGGCGGGCUUUUCACAGUGCUUCAGUGGGGGUGCAAUGAUUUGCCGACACUGUCAUGGAACGGCAGAUGAGAUACGAACAAAGACGAAGCUGGAAGAGUUUGACCUCCGUUCCAAAGAAGAUUAUGACUCCAAAGUGAAGCUUUUGCUUGAAGAAGGUUUCGGUGAAUCACUCUCGAAAGCGUACGGCAUCCGAAGCACGUGUCCGUUCAGCUCAUUGACGGGCUUUCACCCGAUGACGUCGAUACCCCCUGAUGUGAUGCAUGAUCUUCUAGAGGGCGUUGUGCCGUCCACCAUUGCUCUGGUGUGCGGUGGUUUGAGCUCUCGCGGUGAUUUGUCUCUGAACGAUGUGAACAGAGCUAUCAGGUCAUUCCCAUACAGUCAGGUGGACACAAAUCAUCCCGCCCCGUUACGCCGUGAUGGAAAGGGUAUAACUGUGAAGCAGCAGGCGAGUGAGGCUUGGUGUCUUCUGAGGCUUUUGCCAUUGAUUCUCCUGAGUGCAGGUGUUCUCUCAUCGGCUGUGUCUGGGAGCAAGAUGUACUCCCUGCUCGUGCAGUUAAUCAAAAUCAUGCUCCUACUCACUGUCUUCACGGUGUCACUGCAAGACUUGGAUAUCCUGCAAGGGAUGGUGGAAAAGUUUUUGACAGACCUUCUCGCAUGCUUUCCGGAGUUCAAACUGACGCCGAAGCAUCAUUUCCUCUUACACUAUGCCGAUCAAACGAGGAGACAUGGCCCAUUGAGGUAUCUAUGGAGCAUGAGAUACGAAGCCAAACAUCAAACCUUGAAGCGGUCUGUGGCAAACUCGCGCAAUCGUAAAAAUAUAUGCAAGAGCAUCGCAACUCGUUAUCAGCUGAAGAGUGUCGCAGAUGCAAUGGAACUACGCGGUCGUAUGAGCGGCGGGCAAGCUUUCAGGGGAGAGGUUCCGGAAGCGGCUGCUGCAUUGACGAGAGGGGCACAGCUUUUCAAAAAGGCGCUAAUAAACGGCGAGAAGUACUGCGCGGGUGAAGCUCUGCUGCUGCACACUGGUGUCGCUGUGAUUAUCUGCAUUUGCAAACAUCCAAGCAGCGUUGAGUCGGACAAACAAUUCCUGGUGCAGCACCAGGUGGCCAUUUAUGACACAUCCUUGGGAGCUUUUAUCAUUUCUGGAACAGAUCAAUAUGAUGUAUUCGACUGUGCGAGUCUCGUUGAUCCCCAGCCCCUCGGCACGUACUGGAUCAAUGACCACCACUAUGCCGUUCCUCGGAGGCUGAUACCCGGCUACGGGAUGCUGUAGAACGAUAGGACCACGAUCGCCAUGCUGACCUACGUGGUGCAGCAACACGACAUCAACCGACUUGUGACUGUGAAGAAUAAGGGUGAUGUUUUGGCGGCCGCAAAAGAGGCGUUUUCUCUGUCUGGCAGUUAUUGCUUAGAGCUUUACCACAAGGAGUCCGAAUUGUAUGUUCGCAUCGAUAACCCAGUAGACGACCUACCAUGUGGCGGACGGAUUCGCCUUGUCCCCGUCCAAGUCUCCAGCCCACCAGUGUCAUUCAUCCAAAGAUGUCUCAGCACGGCCGACACCAUCCCCGUCCUGACGAUGACAGCUUCUCCUGGCGCCUUGGGAACUCCCUCCUGUUCCAAGGAUUCAGCAGUGAUCGAUGACCUUUUGGUGCCAUGCUCUUCCUCUGUGAGUUCUGCCGUCGGCGAAACGGCACAGGACCCGCUUGCUCUCACCGACGGCGGGACCAGUGACAACGAGUCCAGCAAGGACGCCGGGACCAGUGCGAG